GAAUUUUGGACAAUGGGCGACAGCCUGAUCCCGCAAUGCCGCGUGCAGGAUGAAGGCCUUCGGGUUGUAAACUGUUUUUGUACGGAACAAAAACCUUUGGGUUCAUACCCUGGAGCCCUGACGGUCCCGUAGCAAUAAGCACCGGCUACCUACGUGCCAGCAGCCGCGGUAAUACGUAGGGUGCAAGCGUUAAUCGGAAUUACUGGGCGUAAAGCGUGCGCAGGCGGUUUUGUAAGACAGAGGUGAAAACCCCGGGCUCAACCUGGGAACUGCCUUUGUGACUGCAAGGCUAGAGUACGGCAGAGGGGGGUGGAAUUCCGCGUGUAGCAGUGAAAUGCGUAGAUAUGCGGAGGAACACCGAUGGCGAAGGCAACCCCCUGGGCCUGUACUGACGCUCAUGCACGAAAGCGCGGGGAGCAAACA
rnacentral:rRNA from 1 species